rnacentral:rRNA from 1 species
UACGUAGGGAGCGAGCGUUGUCCGGAUUUACUGGGUGUAAAGGGUGCGUAGGCGGCUUUGCAAGUCAGAAGUGAAAUCCAUGGGCUUAACCCAUGAACUGCUUUUGAAACUGCAGAGCUUGAGUGGAGUAGAGGUAGGCGGAAUUCCCGGUGUAGCGGUGAAAUGCGUAGAUAUUAGGAGGAACACCAGUGGCGAAGGCGGCUUGCUGGACGAUGACUGACGUUGAGGCUCGAAAGCGUGGGGAGCAAACAGG